ACCGAAAUAUAAAAUCGCAUCACGAGCGGCGAUUGAAAACCGGUGUGAUACGAAGUUACAACAAAAAAGAAUUGUGGUGGCCGUCGGGAUCCGGCGAGGCUCGUCGGAUUUUGCCCAUUUUAGUUCUAAGCUGUACAGUCUGCUCUCUUAUCUGAGAGAUAUUGAGGGAACUGUCUACGUCUAAAGGGAAAAAAAUGAAGGGAACAUGCACUCUCGUAGCUUCCGUGCUCGCCGCGUCCACCGUGGCUUUAUCCUCCUCCUCUACAGCAGAUCGCGACGUCGCUUUUUAUCCUUCAUCCAAUGAGGGCUCAACUUCUACAAUGGGGAAACGUGUCUCACUGAAUGCUUAUGAAACUUCAGAUAAGGGGAAAUUCGCGCCAAGAUUUGAUGGGUUGAGGUUCAUAGAGACUCUGGUCACGGCUCAUAGAUGACCUGACAAAGCUCAUAAUCUUUUUGUUUUCUUUGUUGUCAUUUGUUGAUGUUGAGGCAAAACCCCAUUGGUUUAUAAGAUGUGAUUAAAAGAGAGCUGUUGUUGCUUAUUUUUCUUUUGAGUUUAGAAGAACUUGUGUUAUUGAUUUGUGUCAUUUUCAUAGAUUUAGGUUUUUUUUUUUUUUCAAAAUAGUUUUAGCAUUUGCUAUUGAUAUUUGGUGGUGUAACCGUAAACUCCAAAGCUUGGGCGUUACAGAAUUUUCUUAAAAUCCUCUUGGGUUUUGGAGUGGGAUCUUACUUCGUCACUUUAUUGAAUUAGCUUAAACAGUUUGCUUAAUUAUUGAAAAGAUAUGGUUUAUUUGC